ACGUGGUGGACCACGGGGACUUCAACCCCGGGGAGGAGGCGC
rnacentral:tRNA from 13 species